rnacentral:tRNA from 1 species
GCCUCGGUAGUCAAAUUGGUAUGACAUCCAUCCCAGAAAGUCGAAAAUUCCAGGUUCGAACCUUGGCCGGGGUA